rnacentral:rRNA from 1 species
UAAGGAAUAUUGGUCAAUGGACGCAAGUCUGAACCAGCCAUGCCGCGUGGAGGAUGAAGGCCCUCUGGGUUGUAAACUUUUUUUAUAGGGGACGAAAAAGGGUCUUUCUAGAUCAACUGACGGUACCCUAGGAAUAAGCACCGGCUAACUCCGUGCCAGCAGCCGCGGUAAUACGGAGGGUGCAAGCGUUAUCCGGAUUCACUGGGUUUAAAGGGUGCGUAGGUGGGUUAGUAAGUCAGUGGUGAAAUCUUCGAGCUUAACUCGGAAACUGCCAUUGAUACUAUUAGUCUUGAAUAUAGUAGAGGUUAGCGGAAUGUGUAAUGUAGCGGUGAAAUGCUUAGAUAUGACAUAGAACACCAGUUGCGAAGGCAGCUGGCUACACAUAUAUUGACACUGAGGCACGAAAGCGUGGGGAUCAAAC